GUGGGGAAUCUUAGACAAUGGGCGCAAGCCUGAUCUAGCCAUGCCGCGUGAGUGAUGAAGGCCCUAGGGUUGUAAAGCUCUUUCAGCUGGGAAGAUAAUGACGGUACCAGCAGAAGAAGCCCCGGCUAACUCCGUGCCAGCAGCCGCGGUAAUACGGAGGGGGCUAGCGUUGUUCGGAAUUACUGGGCGUAAAGCGCGCGUAGGCGGACUGAAAAGUUGGGGGUGAAAUCCCGAGGCUCAACCUCGGAACUGCCUUCAAAACUAUCAGUCUGGAGUUCGAGAGAGGUGAGUGGAAUUCCGAGUGUAGAGGUGAAAUUCGUAGAUAUUCGGAGGAACACCAGUGGCGAAGGCGGCUCACUGGCUCGAUACUGACGCUGAGGUGCGAAAGCGUGGGGAGCAAACAGGAUUAGAUACCCUUGUAGUCC
rnacentral:rRNA from 1 species